CAUUCCCAGCCUGCUCUGCUUCCCCUGGCAGGUCUUCAAGAUGCUGGGAAACAAGGAAUCCCUGGAUCAGAUCAUUGUGGCUACUCCCGGCCUCAGCAGCGACCCCGUGGCUCUGGGAGUUCUGCAGGACAAGGAUCUGUUCUCUGUGUUUGCAGACCCCAACAUGCUGGACACGUAAGUUCCCCGAGCUGGGGCGGUGAUUCAGCAGUGCCUUUGUGUCACCUGGGUGGGACAGAGCUCUCUGCUCCUGCCUCCCAGGCUGGGUCACUCCUGUCAGGAAACACGGAUCCACCACUUGGGUUAAUCCAGAGGGUGUUUGGUGGGAGGCAGGGCCAUCAUGGCCUCCAGAUCAGGGUUCACACCUGGGUGAGCUGCUCACAGCAGAGAGCUGCUCCCAUGAAAACCUUGGAAAAGUCAGCAUGGGUCCAGAGGGAUCCUUGGAGAACCAAGGAAAGGUUGGGUCCAGAAGGUUCCUUGGUGAACAGAGACAAGGUCCAACAUGGAUCCAGAAGGAUCCUUGGGGAACCAAGGCAAGGUCCAAUAUGGGGUCCAGAAUGAUCCUUGGAGAACCAAGGCAAGGUCCAACAUGGAUCCAAUAGGAUCCAAGACUGGGUCCCCCAUGGGUCCAGAAGAAUCCUUGGUGAGCCAAGGCCUGGUCCAAUAUGGGGUCCAGAAUGAUCCUUGGAGAACCAAGGCAAGGUUGGGUCUAGAAGGGUACUUGGUGAACCAAGGCCAGGUCCAGCGUGGAUCCAGAAGGAACCAAGGACAGGUCUAGCAUGGAUCCAGAAGGAUCCUUGGUGAUCCAAGGCCAGGUCCAGCGUGGAUCCAGAAGGAUCCAAGGCCAGGUCCAGCGUGGAUCCAGAAGGAUCCAAGGCCAGGUCCAGCGUGGGUCCAGAAGGAUCCAAGGCCAGGUCCAACAUGGAUCCAGAAGGAUCCAAGGCCAGGUCCAGCAUGGAUCCAGAAGGAUCCUUGGU
rnacentral:lncRNA from 1 species